rnacentral:rRNA from 1 species
AAAAGAACAGUUACUCGUAGAGAGGAUUGGAGUUAAAGACGUAGUCACAAGAGAACUUCGCUAUGUGUCGGGCCUGGCACAGAUAGAAGAGGAAACAACUGAGAGCCAAGUGGGGAAGCUCGCUGAAACUAUUCAGCAGCUCUAAGCACAAGUAGUAGAACUAGAAUUGCAAGCAGUGCCAAGCACUCUGUAAGAAGUGCGAGAUCAGAGGGAAGAAAUUGCCCGGAGUACAGUCAACAGAAUCAAGGCAUUGGCCCUAGAAUGCAAGUAACUUAACAAYAGGAAUGCGUAGACAUAUGAGCGCCUUGCAGAGGACCCAGAACUAAGGACAUUGGAGUCACAACUGCAGGAGGUGAAGCAACAAGCAACGACAAUGCAAGCAUAGUUGAAUCGAUUGUCAGUGGUCGAGAAGAUGAAAAGGUCACAAGAAUAGUGCACAGUUCAACAACAGGUCCAUGCUAUCGAGAGUAAAGUCAUGGAAGUGACCCAAAGACUCCAUCUAGUAUAGGAUGAAGCCUACACACUUUUUGAAGAAAUUGAGGGACAAAGUGCACAGCUGGAACAAGUGGUCACCACAGUGGAGGAGUGCUUGGAAGGACCUGUCAACGAGAAAAUCAUUCAGGAAUUCGUCGAGCAGGAGGCCCUGGCAAAGCAACAAGUCGAGGCAGCUCGAGCCAAGCUCGAGGCCUUUAAGCAUAGUUGCCCAGAUUAGAGUGACUCGGGAUGAGUCACAGGUGAGUGUUGGGGGCUUGUUGGCCCUCGACCAAGUUUUGAAGAACCUUGGUUGUGUUUGACCAUUUUUGGGACUUCGACAGGCUGGUCGAAGACGGAGCGUCAAGGCGAAGCAAAGAUCGUGGGAUCUCACCCCCUUUUUGCGGCCUUUUUGGGUUUAGGGUUUAUUUAACGAGCAUGGGAUGUCGGCCCAUGGGUUUACCCAUGUUUAGGCCCCUUUUGUAAUGUAUAAAUAGAUAGCUACGCGAUGUAAGUAAGGUGUUAUGCUAAGUGCAAGAGUACUAGACCUAGUAGGAUUGGCUUAGUGCAGAUCUAGAGGCUUUGUGCAUACUGUGUGUUGAGAACUUGCAGAGCUAAGUGCAAGUGAUUGUAAGAAGAUUCUGUGUUGUACCAAGCUCGAGGAAGGAGGAUCUGGCGAAGUAAGUGCAGAUAUUGUGUCCUAUGCGGAGUUGGCUUUGUGGCUCUGUGCAUGUAAGAAUAUUGACAAAAGAUAAUAAAGAAGACAAAGAGUUGGUGGACGUAGCCCCACGCUAGGGGUGAACCACGUAUAUCCUGUGUUGUGAUUACAUGUGUGAUUGAUGUGAUUUAUGCUUAGUGAUGUAAUCGUUCUAUAUGUUAGAUGCAUCUGAUGUAAUAGCUCAGUGCUUAAUGUCAUGGAUGAAUGCUAGAUAUGUUGAUGCUAUGUGUUGAAUGGUUAGAUAUGCUUAGAUCUGGUUGAAUACUACGUUGUUCUGUAAUUAGGGUUUGUACCUGCGAUGUGACAAAGGAUCAAAGACUAAUGAAUGAUAACUACUAAGUGCUUUGUUAAGUAUUGUGAUCACAGAUAUGUGUCCCAGCUAGGUUGCAGACACUUGAGUCCUGCGACCCCCCCUGCCUCUACCUAAGGUGAGACUUCCUCUUCUUCUCAGGUGUUACCGAAAUGGCCGAUAGUUAAGGUUUUGUUGGUGUGAUGUUGAAGCGUUGAACCCCAGAUUUUCCCCUACGGCAACAAGUCUACCUGAGCUGCUAUCGAAGCGAGGGCGAGAAAUCACGUGUCGAUUGGGCUACGGACGUAGAAUGUCCCCUCGCAGGGGCUUUUCCCUAGGCAGCGAAUAGUCGACUUAGAACAUGUACGGACAAGGGGAAUCCAACUGUUUAAUUAAAACAAAGCAUUGCGAUGGUCCCUACGAAUGCUGACGCAAUGUGAUUUCUUCCCAGUGCUCUGAAUGUCAAAGUGAAGAAAUUCAACCAAGUGUUGGUAAAUGAUGAGAGUAACUAUGACUCUAUUAAGGUAGCCAAAUGCCUCAUCAUCUAAUUAGUGACGCGCAUGAAUGGAUUAACGAGAUUCCACUGUCCCUAUCUACUAUCUAGCGAAACCACAGCCAAGGGAACGAGCUUGGCAAAAUCAGCGGGAAGAGAAGACCCCAUUGAGCUUGACUCUACUCUGACUUUGUGAAAUGACUUGAGAGGUGUAGAAUAAGUGGGAGCCGUUUUCGGCGCAAGUGAAAUACCACUACUUUUGACGUUAUUUUAGUUAUUCCGUGGAGCGGAGACGGGGCAUCGCCCCUAUUUGUGGCCUUAUGACACGUUUCGAUGGGCUGAUCCGGGCGGAAGACAUUGUCAGGUGGGGAGUUUGGCUGGGGCGACACAUCUGUUAAAAGAUAACACAGGUGUCCUAAGAUGAGCUCAAUGAGAACAAAUAUCUCGUGUGGAACAAAAGGGUAAAAGCUUAUUUGAUUUUGAUUUUCAGUACGAAUACAAACCGUGAAAGCGUGGCUAUUGAUCCUUUAUACUUUCAUAAUUUGAAGCUAGAGGUGUCAGAAAAGUUACCACACAGAUAACUAGCUUGUGGAAGCCAAGUGUUCAUAGCGACGUUGCUUUUUGAUCCUUCGAUGUCGGCUCUUCCUAUCAUUGUGAAACAGAAUUCACCAAGUGUUGGGUUGUUCACCCACCAAUAGGGAACGUGAGUUGGGUUUAGACCAUUGUGAGACAGGUUAUUUUUACCCUACUGAUGAACUGCGUCGCAAUAAUAAUUCAACUUAGUACGAGAGGAACCGUUGAUUCACUCAAUUGGUCAUCACGCUUGGUUGAAAAUCCAGUGGCGCAAAGCUACCGUGUGUCAGAUUAUGAUUGAACGCCUCUAAGUCAGAAUCCACACUAGAAGUGGUGCUUGUCACUCCUCGACUGUAUCUCGACCCACAGUAGGGUCGUCGCUUCGGAACCCCCAGGGGCCCAUGUCACUUGCGAACCUUGGUCGGGAAGCGUUUCAGUCGGGGCAACUUUGAAGUUCAAUUUCAAACGGUCGUUGAGGAGAAUCCUUUACAAACGACUUAAAUACGCGACG